rnacentral:rRNA from 1 species
GACGAACGCUGGCGGCGUGCUUAACACAUGCAAGUCGAACGAGAUCCAAUGUGUAGCAAUACACAGGAAGAUCUAGUGGCGAACGGGUGAGGAACACGUGAGAAACGUACCCCAGACUUUGGGAUAACAGUCCGAAAGGACUGCUAAUACCAAAUAACGUCGGAAGUCCGCAUGGACAUCUGACGAAAGGGAUUCCGGUUUGGGAGCGUCUCGCGGACCUAUCAGCUAGUUGGAGGGGUAACGGCCCACCAAGGCAACGACGGGUAGCUGGUCUGAGAGGAUGGUCAGCCACACUGGGACUGAGACGCGGCCCAGACUCCUACGGGAGGCAGCAGUGGGGAAUCUUGCGCAAUGGGCGAAAGCCUGACGCAGCAACGCCGGGUGCGGGAAGAAGGCUUUCGGGAUGUAAACCGCUUUCAGUAGGAACGAAACUGACGGUACCUACAGAAGAAGGAGCGGCCAACUAUGUG